GCCAGACUCCUACGGGAGGCAGCAGUGGGGGAUAUUGCACAAUGGGGGAAACCCUGAUGCAGCGACGCCGCGUGAGUGAAGAAGUAUUUCGGUAUGUAAAGCUCUAUCAGCAGGGAAGAAAAAAGACGGUACCUGACUAAGAAGCCCCGGCUAACUACGUGCCAGCAGCCGCGGUAAUACGUAGGGGGCAAGCGUUAUCCGGAUUUACUGGGUGUAAAGGGAGCGUAGACGGCAAUACAAGUCGGAAGUGAAAUACCCGGGCUCAACCUGGGAACUGCUUUGGAAACUGUAUGGCUGGAGUGCUGGAGAGGUAAGCGGAAUUCCUAGUGUAGCGGUGAAAUGCGUAGAUAUUAGGAGGAACACCAGUGGCGAAGGCGGCUUACUGGACAGUAACUGACGUUGAGGCUCGAAAGCGUGGGGAGCAAACAGGAUUAGAUAUCCCCGUAU
rnacentral:rRNA from 1 species